AAUCCAACCAACCCACCAGGUUGGAGCACCUACCCCGGGGCAAGAAGGGACAGGAAAACACCUUGACUAAACAGCUUCCCACGUGUGGGAGAAGUAUUUACUAGAGCUAACAGUGGAUAAAAAUGAGGCCAUUGGCCCUGAAGUUACCUCUGGUAUUUGGGAACAGGAAGAAGAGACCAGAGUCCUUCCUUAGACACCCCCUUCAUCAAGCCAGACUGUGACAGCAUGACAAAGGGAGCAGGUCCCCGCCUGCCGGCUCUCUUCCCAGCGAGCCCACAGGGGUCAUCUCCUUGGCAGCUGAGGCAGACAGAAGGGGCCAGACACCCCAGCCAGGGCCGGGAGCCCACUGGCCUGGGGGCCACUCGUGCACUCUGGACCACAUCUCAUGCUGACCGCCCCGCAUUCCAAACCCCCGUCACAGUCCAAGAAGAUACACAUUUUAAAGCAGUACUAUCGUCUGGUUUGUGAGCCUCAUUUCUGGUUUGUCCCUAUGGAUGCCUUCAUGAUUUCCCCCUAGCUUUCUCUAAAAAUGAAGUGAAGGAAUGUC